UUACGGCCAUAUCACGUUGAAACACCGGUUUCCGUAUGAUCCCCGAAGUUACAAAACCUCGAGCCUAGUCAGUACUUAGAUGACUGACCGCUUGAGAAUAACAGGUACUGUAAG